UGGGUAAUCUUGUGAAACUUCAUCGUGAUGGGGAUAGAGCAUUGCAACUAUUGCUCUUCAACGAGGAAUCCCUAGUAAGCAUGAGUCAUUAGCUCAUGUUGAUUACGUCCCUGCCCUUUGUACACACCGCCCGUCGCUACUACCGAUUGAAUGGCUUAGUGAGACCCUCGGAUCGAUAUGUUGAAACCUUCACGGGUAUCUACUUGUUGAGAAGUUGGUCAAACUUGGUCAUUUAGAGGAAGUAAAAGUCGUAACAAGGUUUCCGUAGGUGAACCUGCGGAAGGAUCAUU
rnacentral:rRNA from 1 species